UCCUGCUUCCUGUAUUUCCUGCCUCAGCUGUUUGGUGUUGCUAAUCAGACAGAGUUCGGUUCUGUUCGGAUGUUUUCCUGGUUUGGUUCCUGCAGCAUGUGUUCAGCAGCAGGAUGAGACCUGCUGACCUCAGAGCAGCGCCGCCGUGUUUCAGCCGUCCUGUGAAGCUUCACCUCCAGGUUUCGACGUUUCAUCAAGGAGUUUGGAUUCCAGAGGAACCAGAACCAGAAACAGACUGAACUGGAGAACCAGGAGAAGAUUAUCUGGAUUUCACUUUUUCACAGGCAAAAAACUCAAAAUGCGACAGAAGCUAAAAAACGCUGAGAGACGAACGAGCGACGAGUUGAACCGGAGAAACAAACUCAUCAUUUUUAAAUAUUUGCUUUUAUUUUAGAGAAAACUCAAAGUUCCCGUCCUGGUUCCACCAAAAAACUGUUUAGAGUCAUUUCAGAAAUUUCUUAGAAAAACUUGUCAAUUCUGUAAAUAUAAAUUUGCAGGAAAAUCUGACAAAUUUUGAGAUUAAUCUCUUGAAUUUUCUUUAAAACUUGGAAAUUCUCUGAACUACAAUAAUCGUAAAUUUGUAGGAAAAAUAAACUUUUUAGAUCAACAUUUUCUUGGCAGUGUUUGUAGCUUGUAAAGAACAUUUUUGACUUUUCAAUUCUUUAUUUAUUGGUAACUUUAGCUUUAAAUACUCCACUUUAACUUCUAUCAUUUAUUUAACUGUAUUUUUUCUUAGU